UACGGGGGGAGCAAGCGUUGUUCGGAUUUACUGGGCGUAAAGGGCGCGUAGGCGGCCACCGCAAGUCGACUGUGAAAUCUCCGGGCUUAACCCGGAACGGUCAGCCGAUACUGCGGGGCAAGAGUGCAGAAGGGGCAACUGGAAUUCUCGGUGUAGCGGUGAAAUGCGUAGAUAUCGAGAGGAACACCUGCGGCGAAGGCGGGUUGCUGGGCUGACACUGACGCUGAUGCGCGAAAGCUAGGGGAGCGAACGGG
rnacentral:rRNA from 1 species